UCAUUUAAUGCUGGCAUAUCUCGUUUGGAGUGUACUGUGUCGGAACCACCACUACCGUCGGCGUGUAGCUCGCCCGUGCACAUGCUUGGGUCUCCUCUUGCCACAAGCAGCUCUUCCCAGGAAUCUCUGGUGACCCUAACCCAGCCAGUGGGCCGACACAAACAGGUUAAAAGGAAGCGGGAUUCGUCAUCUGGCCUUGUCUUGUU